CGACAAAACGUUAUUCCCCCUCCCUCUAGCAAGCACAUCCGUCCAACACUAGUCUCCUCGAUCAUUCCUCCGCAUCGCCCACGACCCAAUCCCUAACCCUUCAAAGCCACCAAAACUUUCAUGCCUCUUCCGACGCUAUCAUUCUUGUUGCUUAGGGUUGUCCAAUUGUGCGCCCAGUAGCCGAUCCUUUCCUUCAUUGGGUUAACAAAAAGAUUCUAACGGUGAGUCUUCAGAAGGGUUACCGUAGCCCUUCUACUUCUAAAGCUGACGAUGAUGACGAGGGCAGAGGAAUUGGGAGGCGUAUAGACAAUCGCAAUCCGACUCUUCUUCUCUUCUCCCAAUCUCCACUUGCUGGAUCUUCUCUACAAUCACCUCGUUCACCACAUAAAGGUAAAUAGUCAUAAAUCUGAUUGCUAGUGGGGUGGAGGCAGUUCCUGUGGAGGAUGAUGUUGCCGUUGAUGUGAUUGAGGAGAUAGAGCCGCCUUCGGUCGCGGUGCCCUUCUCCAGGCUAUUUUCCUGCGUAGAUGAGCUCGAUUGGGUGCUGAUGGUGGUCGGGGCUAUACUGCCCUGCCCAAGGGGGGUGGCGCUAGUGGUCUACUUGUAUUUCUUUGGAAGGGUCAUCAACUUGCUCGACUCUCAGAGUGAGGCGCUGUUUGGUAAAAUCAAGCAGGUAUCUCAAAAGGGAUUGAUAGGCAUAACACUAGUAAGCCAUUGGUUUGUGCCUUGCUCUAACACCAAAGAAGUUGCAAUCUCUCACUAGAUUUCAUGUUUGGAUGGUUCACGAACCCCUUAACUCAAGGGGACUAUCCUUUCACAAUGAGAGCACUUGUUGGGGAUCGCCUUCCAAAGUUUAGCACAGAACAAUCUCAACUUAUACACAUAAUGGUAAUCAUGAUCAGGUUUCAACAACUCGAGCUUCAUUGUUGGUUUCAACUAUUAAGUAGUUUUGUAUUAUUUUGUAAUUUUGUGCAACAAGUUAUAUGAAAUCUAGAUUUAUCUCGUCUGUACCUCAAUCAAGAUUUUCUAAUUGCUGUAUGGUGUAAACUGUGAUCCUUAUUUUUAACUUUAAGAGUGGAAAUUUAUUUUGCAUAAUACCGAUGAUAUUAUUUUCUGUGGCAGAUACACAGUGGUAGGUGUUUUUUUCUCAGUCUCAAGCCGACAAUCCUUUAUGAGUGUAGCUAGUAGAAGUAAGCAUGCAAAUCGUUGCCUUCGAGGUUGGCUAGCUAUUUUGUGUUCUUUCAUUUUAAAUUUGAAUGUCACUAUAUAUUUUUAAACAGAACUAUUUAGUCUUUGAAAUCAUUAGUUAAAUUCUACUUUGUAGUUGAAUUUUACUUUGUAGCUGAAUUCUCUUGUAAAUAUCAAUAUCUAUUUUAUAAUUGGAUUUUAUUGUUUUGGUAAAA